AUGGUGGCCAGGACCCUGUACACAUAUCCUGAGAACUGGAGGGUCUUCAAGCCUCUCAUUGCUGCUCGGUACAGUGGGGCUCAGGUCUAUGUGCUCUCUGCACCACCCCAUUUCCAGUUUGACCAAACCAACUCCCCCGAAUUUCUCCGUAAAUUGCCUGCCAGUAAGUUUCCAGCAUUUGAGGGUGACGAUGGUUUCUGUGUGUUGGAGAGCAAUGCCAGUGCCUACUAUGUGAGCAAUGAGGAGCUGUGGGGAAAUACUCCAGAGGCAGCAGCCCCAGUGGUUCAGGGGUGAGCUUUGCUGAUAGUGACAUAGUGUCCCCAGCCAGUACCUGGGUGUUCCCCACUUUGGGCAUUGUGCACCACAACAAGCAGGCCACACAGAAUGCAAAGGAAGAGGUAAGGUGAAUUCUGAGACUACUGGAUGCUCACUUAAUGACAAGGACUUUCCUGGUGGGUGAAUGUGUGACACUGGCUGACAUCACAAUAGUCUGCACCCUGUUGUGGCUUUAUAAACAGGUCCUGGAGCCUUCUUUCCAGCAGGCCUUCCCUGACACCAACCACUGGUUCCUCACCUGCAUUAACUGGCCCCAGUUCCAGGCUAUCUUGUGGGGGAGGGGAAACUCCAUGAGAAGAUGGCCCAGGUUGAUGCUAAAAAGUUUGCAGGGAGCCAUCCUGAAAAGGGUACCCUACAGAAAGAGAAAGGUUCUUGAGAAGAGAAGCAGAACCCCCAGGCUGAGUGGAAAGAGGAGAAAAAGGCUGCUGCCGCUGCUUCUGAGGAGGAGAUGGAUGAAUGUGAACAGGCGCUGGCUGCUAAGGCAAAGGCCAAGGAUCACUUUGCUCACUUGCCCAAGAGUACCUUUGUGUUGGAUGAAUUUAAGUGCAAAUACUCCAGUGAGGACACCCUCUCUGUGGUGCUACCAUAUGUUUGGGAGCAUUUUGAUAAGGAUGGCUGGUCUCUGUGCUAUUCUGAGUACUGUUUCCCUGAGAGCUCACCUGGACCUUCAUGAGCUGCAACCUCAUCACUGGAAUGUUCCAGAGGUUGGACAAACUGAGGAAGAAUGCCUUUGCCAGUGUCACUCUUUUUGGAGCUAACAAUAGCAGUUCCAUUUCUGAAGUCUAGGUCUUCUAAGGCCAGGAUCUUGCCUUUCUGAGUCCAGACUGGCAGGCAGACUAAGAGUCAUAUACAUGGCAGAAACUGGGUCCUGGCAGUGAGGAGACCCAGACACUGGUUCAAGAGUAUUUUUCCUGGGAGGGGGCCUUCCAGCAUGUGGGCAAAGCAUUCAAUCAGGGCAAGAUCUUCAAAUAA